UGGAAAUUACGUGUUAAUAUUGUAGAAUAAAUUUUAUUUGCGAUAUCAGACUCUUACAAACAUACAACAAUGUUGGGCCAAUGAUGUUCCAACAUUCUAAAGUAUUACCCAGCUAUGAAACCAUUCAUGUGUCGCAAAGAGAACAUUGAUAGUGGGCAGCAAAACGUAUUAAGAGUUACCUCCCUUGAUAAUGCGAAGGAGCCGUCUGGCAUAAGGGCUAUUCACUGUACAUCAAUAAAGGAGGUUCCAGCCUGCGUCCCUGAGACAAGGUUUCUCCAUGUGAAUAGAACAGAUUCGUCCGCAUUCAGAAGUUUCCCCACAGUAAUGCAGAAAAUUCAUUCUGGGAUGUUGUCGUUUAGUAUGGUUAUGUGUAUUUAGGCAAGGUAUAAACAUAAAAGAAGAGAAAAUUAUAUCCUUUGAAAUCAUCAGUUUAUGGGACUUUAGCCAAUUUUGUCCAAUUUCAGUACGGUGAAAAAAUCUUCAAAAUUCAGUCAAAAAUUUAAAUUUCAUUUUUUGAUGGAGCAGUUAAGUCUUACAAUGUAUUUUAAGGCAAGAAACAAAUAGAAAAAAAGAAUAAAAAUUAUAUCCUUUGAAAUCACCUCAUUAUUGGACUUUAGCCAAUUUGGCCCAGUUUCAGUAAUUUGGAA